rnacentral:rRNA from 1 species
AUUGAACGCUGGCGGCAGGCCUAACACAUGCAAGUCGAGCGGAUGAGUGGAGCUUGCUCCAUGAUUCAGCGGCGGACGGGUGAGUAAUGCCUAGGAAUCUGCCUGGUAGUGGGGGACAACGUUUCGAAAGGAACGCUAAUACCGCAUACGUCCUACGGGAGAAAGCAGGGGACCUUCGGGCCUUGCGCUAUCAGAUGAGCCUAGGUCGGAUUAGCUAGUAGGUGGGUAAUGGCCCACCUAGGCGACGAUCCGUAACUGGUCUGAGAGGAUGAUCAGUCACACUGGAACUGAGACACGGUCCAGACUCCUACGGGAGGCAGCAGUGGGGAAUAUUGGACAAUGGGCGAAAGCCUGAUCCAGCCAUGCCGCGUGUGUGAAGAAGGUCUUCGGAUUGUAAAGCACUUUAAGUUGGGAGGAAGGGCAGUAAGUUAAUACCUUGCUGUUUUGACGUUACCAACAGAAUAAGCACCGGCUAACUUCGUGCCAGCCGCCGCAGUAA